AUUGAACGCUGGCGGCAUGCUUUACACAUGCAAGUCGAACGGCAGCGGGGAGGAGCUUGCUGCUCUGCCGGCGAGUGGCGAACGGGUGAGCAAUAAAUCGGAACGUGUCGAGAAGAGGGGGAUAACCACCCGAAAGGGUGGCUAAAACCGCAUAAAUUCUGAGGAAGAAAGCUGGGGACCUGGGAAGAGGCCAAGCGCGUUUUGAGCGGCCGAUGUCGGAUUAGCUAGUUGGUGCGGUAAAGGCUCACCAAGGCGAAGAUCUGUAGCGGGUCUGAGAGGAUGAUCCGCCACACUGGAACUGAGACACGGCCCAGACUCCUACGGGAGGCAGCAGUGGGGAAUUUUGGACAAUGGGGGCAACCCUGAUCCAGCCAUGCCGCGUGUAUGAAGAAGGCCUUAGGGUUGUAAAGUACUUUUGUUAGGGAAGAAAAGUCGUCUGUGAAUACUGGCUGAUACUGACGUUACCUAAAGAAUAAGCACCGGCUAACUACGUG
rnacentral:rRNA from 1 species